AUUGAACGCUGGCGGCAGGCCUAACACAUGCAAGUCGAGCGAAUGAAGGGAGCUUGCUCCUGGAUUCAGCGGCGGACGGGUGAGUAAUGCCUAGGAAUCUGCCUGGUAGUGGGGGAUAACGUCCGGAAACGGGCGCUAAUACCGCAUACGUCCUGAGGGAGAAAGUGGGGGAUCUUCGGACCUCACGCUAUCAGAUGAGCCUAGGUCGGAUUAGCUAGUUGGUGGGGUAAAGGCCUACCAAGGCGACGAUCCGUAACUGGUCUGAGAGGAUGAUCAGUCACACUGGAACUGAGACACGGUCCAGACUCCUACGGGAGGCAGCAGUGGGGAAUAUUGGACAAUGGGCGAAAGCCUGAUCCAGCCAUGCCGCGUGUGUGAAGAAGGUCUUCGGAUUGUAAAGCACUUUAAGUUGGGAGGAAGGGCAGUAAGUUAAUACCUUGCCGUUUUGACGUUACCAACAGAAUAAGCACCGGCUAACUUCGUG
rnacentral:rRNA from 1 species